UGAUGGAUACACUCUAGCCAGCGAAAAGGGUUGUCUCCUUCUUGGCUGGAAAGGAAGACCUAUCAUGCUGGCAUCUUCAUGGCAAGUUCACAAUGUUCCUUCUUCCUGAUGCUUGGAUGGUAUCGUCAUUAAUAUGGUUUAGUCUUUGAAAUGAUCAUUACUUCGUCUAGUAUUAGAAUAUAAUAAAGUGGAUUAUCUCGUGACCAAUGAUGAUCCCGAUGUCCUCAGCG
rnacentral:misc_RNA from 1 species